AGAGUUUGAUCCUGGCUCAGGAUGAACGCUGGCGGUCUGCUUAACACAUGCAAGUCGAACGGAGUAGAAAUACUUAGUGGCGGACGGGUGAGUAACGCGUGAGAAUCUGCCUUCAGGACGGAGACAACAGUUGGAAACGACUGCUAAGCCCCGAUGAACCGAAAGGGAAAAUAUUUAUAGCCUGAAGAUGAGCUCGCGUCCGAUUAGCUAGUUGGGGGGGUAAAGGCCCACCAAGGCGACGAUCGGUAGCUGGUCUGAGAGGACGAUCAGCCACACUGGGACUGAGACACGGCCCAGACUCCUACGGGAGGCAGCAGUGGGGAAUUUUCCGCAAUGGGCGAAAGCCUGACGGAGCAAGACCGCGUGGGGGAAGAAGGCUCUUGGGUUGUAAACCCCUUUUCUCUGGGAAGAAAGUUGUGAAAGCAACCUGACGGUACCAGAGGAAUCAGCAUCGGCUAACUCCGUGCCAGCAGCCGUGGUAAGACGGAGGAUGCAAGCGUUAUCCGGAAUGAUUGGGCGUAAAGCGUCCGCAGGUGGCAGUUCAAGUCUGCUGUCAAAGACCGGGGCUUAACUUCGGAAAGGCAGUGGAAACUGAACAGCUAGAGUAUGGUAGGGGCAGAGGGAAUUCCUGGUGUAGCGGUGAAAUGCGUAGAGAUCAGGAAGAACAUCGGUGGCGAAGGCCUCUGCUGGACCAUAACUGACACUCAGGGACGAAAGCUAGGGGAGCGAAUGGGAUUAGAUACCCUAGUAGUCC
rnacentral:rRNA from 1 species